ACGGGUGAGUAACACGUGGGCAACCUGCCUCACAAUGAGGGAUAGCCUUCCGAAAGGAAGAUUAAUACCUCAUAACACAAGAGAAACGCAUGUUUCUCUUGCCAAAGAAUUUCGUUGUGAGAUGGGCCCGCGGCGCAUUAGCUUGUUGGUGAGGUAACGGCUCACCAAGGCUUCGAUGCGUAGCCGACCUGAGAGGGUGAUCGGCCACAUUGGAACUGAGACACGGUCCAGACUCCUACGGGAGGCAGCAGUGGGGAAUAUUGCACAAUGGAGGAAACUCUGAUGCAGCAACGCCGCGUGAGUGAUGAAGGUCUUCGGAUUGUAAAGCUCUGUCUUCUGGGACGAUAAUGACGGUACCAGAGGAGGAAGCCACGGCUAACUACGUGCCAGCAGCCGCGGUAAUACGUAGGUGGCAAGCGUUGUCCGGAUUUACUGGGCGUAAAGGAUGUGUAGGCGGAUAUUUAAGUGAGAUGUGAAAUCCCCGGGCUUAACUUGGGGGCUGCAUUUCAAACUGGAUGUCUAGAGUGCAGGAGAGGAAAGCAGAAUUCCUAGU
rnacentral:rRNA from 1 species